CCCGGAUGGCUCCGCGUUCCCUCCCUCCCGCCGCCCCGAACGGGAAGUCACCGGCUCGCGCGAGCACAGCUCGUGCCCGAGAGAGUAGCCGAGGGUGAUAGAUGGGGCGCGCGAACCAGGACCAGCAGGUAGCAGGAAAGCUGAUAACUCCUCUGAGCGUUUCAGUUCUCUGCAAAUGAUUCUUCAACCAUCUUUCCGGAGUUUGACCUUGGCUUUUAUAUGGCAUCCAUCAUUGUCUUGUCUGAAAACGUAAAGAGAACAGGAGCGAUUUUCACAGAUCAUCGGUGAACAAAAGUGACUCUUGAGAACCUCUGCACUGCUACAAACACAUAGUGUAGUUAGAGCUAGUCUGCAUGAUGCUGGAAGCACACAAAUAUCUGGCCCUCUUAGUAGCAGAUAUACGGCAAUGUAAGAGCUGAGGGUGCAAUCACUAGCUUCCUCUAUCCACUUGUUGCCAUAAUUGAAUAUGUUUUUAACAGCGUCUCACUGUGGCAAGGCCAGAAUCCAAGAGAGAUAGGAACAGGGGAUGGUAGGUUGGUUUCCCUCUCAUCUAUAAGAGGUUUUUUCAUUAUUGUUGGGUCUAAGAGACCUUAGACCUUGCAUGAUUUUUUUUUCCAGACAGGUGGAAAGUGUUGUGUCAAGGUGUGUGUGUGUGGGGGCGGGGGGACUGCAAAAUUCAAGUCAAAACAAGUUGACUUCUCACAACGUUUUCAAAAAUAUUAUUUAUUUUCCCCCACCCCCCUUCCUUCUCAUAACCUCCAUUGGUUUUAACAGCAGUGGAAUUGUUUUCGACACUUCUAUUACUGACCUUGCAGAUGUCCCAAGGCAAUCUGUGCUUAAAGUGUUAAUGCUCCCCCUACACACAGACCCAUAGUCAAUCCAUACCCUUCAGGAUGUCCUUCUCUUGAUAAUGCCCGCAUAAAUAUGAUGGUUUGAGGCAGAAGAAAAAUUGCAGGAUACCAGCUAGAGCAUCUAAAUGCUGCCUCAUCAUACAAAGGCACUUUAUAUUGUUCUCAUACAUCCUAGCAGCCAUUUUACAAAUGCCAAAGGGCACUUAGUGCUGGAUACAGAGACAGGAAGGAGAGAUGAGAAAGAAGUGCCUAUUAUUUCUUACCAAAAUGAAUCUGCAUCUCUAAUGGGAUACAAUGCCAGGCUUAUUACAACUAACCAGUCAGUCAGUGCUGAAGGAGAAAAGGCUGUAUGUGGGAUGGCAAGGGGAAACAAAGACUGGGAGAGAUUAAAGAAUGAGGACUCAGAUUCACAGAGUGUUCUGGUCACAUUUUCUUUGGAAAUACUUCAUUUCAGCACCACAUCGGAGAAGAUCACCUGAAACUUUCUUGAUCAACACAGCGGGAAGAGACUACUUCAUUGUACAAAGAAGUUUCCAUAGAUGACAGUCAUCAGCUAGUCCUUUCAGAUUUCAAUUCAAUAAGAUAUAAUGGCCAUGUAUGUUUUAUUGUGCAUAUUUUGGGCUGAACUAAUCCUUGCUGAAACACCACUAGGUCAAUGGAGUUACACCCAGGAUUGAGUUAGCUGAUUUUGCUUCAGUGCAGCAAAACACUGUACCUGCUUCAUUAUCUAAAACGAAUUAGCUAGGGCUACCUGCCUCCUGGUGCAGUAAUGUGUAAAAUAAUGCAGCUCGUCUGCUUGCCCUAGAGCCAUAUUCUGGAUUUUGGACAACAUUAAAUUGCAGCAAUAAUUCUUGUACUGGAAUGCAACAACAAUGCAAUAAAGUUGGCAUUUUAAAAAGCAUUAAAGCUCACCAUUUAGUGACACCCCCAAUCCCGACAGGCAACAGGUGUCCUCUAUGUAUUACUGACAAUAUUUCUCUCAAGCUCAUCCCAUCUUUAGAUGGGUGUUUCUGGGUUUCCGGUUGUCCCAGACCCUACUGAUAUUUUCUCCUGAUCCAACCAAAGAAGCAAAGCAGCCAACAGACACAGCUCUGGACAUUCAGGAGCUAAAACUUUGAGGUCAAAGACAUUUAUUCCAACCCAUCAGGUCUCCAGCCCCUCACCAUGGAGAUAGGUCCUCUUCCUAUAAUCAGGAGAGGUUUACCCGGCUGCCUUCUUCUUAUGAGGCUAAGGAGGAUUCUUCUGCAACCAAGGCAGUGACACAAAGAUGCGGCUGCUUAUUUAAUUGGGCAAGUCUGUAGAACUCAAUUUAAGUUCCUUAAAUGCCAGAAACUUCUUGGGAACGCUCAUCAGGGGAAUGUUACAAUACCAGGCCUGAGCUUUCCAGACAUCAGUCCCGAGAAACAUCUCCUCUGCUGCGUGUAAGUAGAAGGAAGACCCACAGCACAGCCAAUUGCUUGAAUUUACGGGAAUGAGGCUGUCCUUCCUACAGUUUGUAUAGCAGUAUCUAUUUGUCAUUUAAAAUGGGAACCUUCCUUUUCUAGCCUUUGUUUAGCUCUGAUACUAGAGAGGCAAUUUGACAUUCCUUUGAUUUGUGGAGAGCACAUAAAUGUUAUAAUAAUACAUAGCACUUCACAUAUUCAAAGCACCUUGCAAACUUUAUGUACUAGGCACUAUCAUAAUGGUACUUUAGCUUCUGUAGAUCCUGUAUUCAGCUAGAGUUCUCAGUACACAGUGGCUGCUAAGUAAAUCUGAUGGCAGCCUGCAAUUUUUAUCUAAUGUGUUUAUUUCCCCACUAAUACUACAAUGCUACACAGAGCCUAUUAGGCUAAACUGGUGGUAUCAGGCAUCCUACUAGAAAGAAAAAUUGUACUUAGUUUCUGGGAGUUAAAAGCUAUAGAUCUGGAAGACUUGCGUCUCCCCUCCAAGUUGGAUGGAUUUUUCUAGUAAUCAAGAGCUGUAUUAGUUUGCAAUAUUUGUUUUAUCGUUUAUAAAGAUUCUGGUGCUUCCAAGUUUCUACAGUUCUCCUUCAUGUCUUCUUGUAGUGUUCUACAAGAUUAAAGGAGCUUCCUUUUUACUUGGGAUUAACUGAGGCUGCUCACUGGGCAAAGGAAAAGCCUGUGAUGUCACAGAACCUUAUCACAUCCCAACAAGUCUAUGCCUUUUUACUACUCCCUCUAAUUAGUUGAUGCAGCAGCAUGCUUUCCAAACCCCAUAAUUCCAGGCUAGUGCUUGUAAUGCCAGAACCCGAAUGACCAGAUAACCCUUUUCUUUCAGGACACUGAAAUGCUCACUAAUUUGUUCAAAAAAUCAAGCCAAGCAGUGACAUUCUGUAGACAAAUCAAUGGGAUUUUUAGUAUUUAUUUCAACAAGGAUCUGGACUUCUGCAAGUUGAUCAUCUUAUCAGUCACAAAAAACAAACACCAGCUCCCCCCUUUCACAAAAAUGUCUCCCUACCCGAUAUAUUCAUACCCAAAGUUAUCUCCUUAAACCCCACCUGCACGCUAGGUUGAGGAAGCUUUCAUUUAAAAGAAGUCUCUUUUGAUUUUUAAAUUCCACAGAGUGCAUAGAAUCUUAAUGCACACAAGCAAUACAGCAAUGUACAGCUGCAAUUAACUGUCCAUCUAAUGAACCAGUCCCUCUAUUCUAGCUUGAAGUCCCACUGAAGUCAAUAGAACUUAUUUGCAUCAACUGAGGAUCUGGAAUGUUUUACAGUGGUCAUGUACUUCUCAGCAAAGUGGACCUGGAUUCUGAAGCACUCUAGUGUGGCUGAUUGGAAAUUCCCCUGCUCCUAGACACCACAUUUCACCCACAACUUCAUUCACCAAUUGACUCCAUUCCCCUUUCACUCAGCCCUCCCAACCUAACUUAUCCACUCCUGGUCUCAGAACCUAAGCCCCCUCAGCUGCUUCCAACCCAAACCCCACCUGCUCAGAAACAUGCCCCCCACUUCCCACACCUAUCUAACUACGGACAGCCGCCUCCUCCACUUAACCACUCCACAGCUCAGAACCCUCUCCUACCCAACACUCUCUCAAGCUCAGAAAAAGCAUUCCCAGACUCAGAAACCUUGUCCCUCGUGCCUGACAGCCACCACCUGCAGCUCAGAAAUACCCUGUCACUGUGCUGGGUCUGGAAAAGAAAGAGUACAAGUUGUAGUGACCAUGUGUAGACUCUGUAUAGGACUCUAUACUCUUCUUGUGGAGCUAGCCGCAUCAAAACCUGCAUUCCCUGUGCUAGCCCUCUUUCCUAUAAAGCUUGCAGUCUAUAUGCUACAAGUUGGAAAUCACCCAUUGGCAGAUAAGUGUACUGCAAGCUCCACUAUAUCAGCCACAUUACGCUGCUGUGAUCUUAGUGGUGGUGCUUAGCCUCGUUAGCCCCUUUUCACCAGUCAUCCCUGUUUGGGUGACCAUCUUUAGGUUUCAGAGUCAACAACACAUUGAAAUAAAGAGUCAAUUCACACCUUUCAGAAUCAUUGUUUUGCAAGCCCAUGAAGACAGCAUGACAUGAGUUUGCACUCAUUUCACAUUUUCAAUAUCAUCUUUGUAACCAUAAGCACUAGAAACUUUUUAUUAAAAAAGGAUUCUUUAGAUGUUGAAAUACAAUUACAUGGCAAGGGGUGGAGAUGGGCAUGAGAUACCCAGGGCCCUGGAGUUGAUUUGGUAAUUGCAAGCUCUUUCUGGAUCAAAAUAUACAAGGAGAAAAAGGUAAGGAAUCAAAGGGUAGGUCUACACUUACCUCCGGG